rnacentral:misc_RNA from 1 species
GAUGAAGAACGCAGCAAAAUGCGAUAAGUAAUGUGAAUUGCAGAAUUCAGUGAAUCAUCGAAUCUUUGAACGCACAUUGCGCCCGCCAGUAUUCUGGUGGGCAUGCCUGUUCGAGCGUCAUUUCAACCCUCAAGCACAGCUUGGUGUUGGGACUCGCGUUAAUUCGCGUUCCUCAAAUUGAUUGGCGGUCACGUCGAGCUUCCAUAGCGUAGUAGUAAAACCCUCGUUACUGGUAAUCGUCGCGGCCACGCCGUUAAACCCCAACUUCUGAAUGUUGACCUCGGAUCAGGUAGGAAUACCCGCUGAACUUAAGCAUAUCAAUAAGCGGAGGA